rnacentral:rRNA from 1 species
GACGAACGCUGGCGGCGUGCUUAACACAUGCAAGUCGAACGGAAAGGCCCCUUUGGGGGUACUCGAGUGGCGAACGGGUGAGUAACACGUGAGUAACCUGCCCUUGACUUCGGGAUAACUUCAGGAAACUGGGGCUAAUACCGGAUAGGAAUCCUUGCUGCAUGGUGGGGGUUGGAAAGCUUCGGCGGUUUUGGAUGGACUCGCGGCUUAUCAGCUUGUUGGUGGGGUAGUGGCUUACCAAGGCUUUGACGGGUAGCCGGCCUGAGAGGGCGACCGGCCACAUUGGGACUGGGGUACGGCCCAGACUCCUAGGGGGGGCAGCGGUGGGGAAUUUUGCACAAGGGGGGGAAGCCUGAUGCAGCAACGCCGGGUGCGGGAUGACGGCCUUCGGGUUGUAAACCGUUUUCAGCAGGGGGGAAGUUUGUGGGGACGGUACCGGCAGAAGAAGCACCGGCUAACUACGU